rnacentral:tRNA from 1 species
GGAUAGGUGGCGGAAUUGGUAGACGUUGGUGCAGAGAUGUAACCCUUGCAGGUUCGAGUCCUGCCCUAUCCA